rnacentral:rRNA from 1 species
AGUGAACGCUGGCGGUAGGCCUAACACAUGCAAGUCGAACGGCAGCACAGUAAGAGCUUGCUCUUACGGGUGGCGAGUGGCGGACGGGUGAGGAAUACAUCGGAAUCUACUAUUUCGUGGGGGAUAACGUAGGGAAACUUACGCUAAUACCGCAUACGACCUACGGGUGAAAGCAGGGGAUCUUCGGACCUUGCGCGAUUGAAUGAGCCGAUGUCGGAUUAGCUAGUUGGCGGGGUAAAGGCCCACCACGGCGACGAUCCGUAGCUGGUCUGAGAGGAUGAUCAGCAACACUGGAACUGAGACACGGUCCAGACUCCUACGGGAGGCAGCAGUGGGGAAUAUUGGACAAUGGGCGCAAGCCUGAUCCAGCCAUACCGCGUGGGUGAAGAAGGCCUUCGGGUUGUAAAGCCCUUUUGUUGGGAAAGAAAAGCAGCAGGUUAAUACCCCGCUGUUCUGACGGUACCCAAAGAAUAAGCACCGGCUAACUUCGUG